UGCAGGACCACAGCCGACCGAGUGCGGCC
rnacentral:piRNA from 1 species